GCACAGGAAGAUGCAAAACCACUGCGUGAAUGCGUAUCCUACUACUUGCUGACACACCCAUGCAACGAAAAGUACGAAACUCUUCUCGAGAUAAAAAAUAUAUUAAACAUGCAUAGCGUGACCAUCGAGUUCUAUAAGUGAAGAUGGUGGUGUGCAGAUUUAUGGUUA